rnacentral:rRNA from 1 species
CUGGCAGUCAGAGGCGAUGAAGGACGUGCUAAUCUGCGAUAAGCGCCGGUAAGGUGAUAUGAACCGUUAUAACCGGCGAUUUCCGAAUGGGGAAACCCAGUGUGAUUCGUCACACUAUCAUUAACUGAAUCCAUAGGUUAAUGAGGCGAACCGGGGGAACUGAAACAUCUAAGUACCCCGAGGAAAAGAAAUCAACCGAGAUUCCCCCAGUAGCGGCGAGCGAACGGGGAGGAGCCCAGAGCCUGAAUCAGCAUGUGUGUUAGUGGAAGCGUCUGGAAAGGCGCGCGAUACAGGGUGACAGCCCCGUACACAAAAGCGCAUGUGCUGUGAGCUCGAUGAGUAGGGCGGGACACGUGGUAUCCUGUCUGAAUAUGGGGGGACCAUCCUCCAAGGCUAAAUACUCCUGACUGACCGAUAGUGAACCAGUACCGUGAGGGAAAGGCGAAAAGAACCCCGGCGAGGGGAGUGAAAAAGAACCUGAAACCGUGU